CAGCUCUGCACCCUCUGUGUAAUGACCUUUGGCCCAGUUGUUACCAGCACCACUCUGGCCUGGAAUAACAACAAAAAAAAAAUAUUACACCCAACAA